AGCAGAUGUGAGUCUUUUUCUUUCAUUACUCUCCCAUGGCCGACAGAUAAGAAAGCUAACGCCAUUUCGCCAUCAUUAUCCUCCUGUACUUAUGAGUAGAAGACGUGGUACGGUGGGAGAGAUGGAACAAUCAAAGAUCAAUGGUUUUUGGAAGCUGCAACUUGCAAGCUGGUGGUGUUGAGAAAUGAGAAUUGGAUUCUCCUCCACCUCAUUGGGGAGGCUUGGUUUGCUUUGAUGAAUUCUGAAUUUGAUUCUUGAAGCUUAAUAAUGGAAAAGGAAAACUUAUGAUAUUGAAGCUUCAGAAGACUCUAAAGCCUUGUUUGGUCUUUUGGAGAGAUUUUAAGGGCCAAACAAGUAAAAAAGAUGGAAGCUUUUUUUUUUCUUUUUUUCCUUUUUUUUUAUCACAACAAUGGAAAUUGAAAAUGAUGUGAUAUAUUAUGCAGCCAAAAUCAAACACUAGAAACGGAAUGCGUGUGUUUUCUCAAAGCAAGCUUCAGCAGCCACCGACUCUCUUGUAAAAUCCGAAUCUUGUUCGUUUGCGAGCGGAAUCAAAAUAGAAUGAUGCUGCCAACAUGAGCUUAGCUUAGCGAUGGAUACCUGUUUUGACCAAGAGGUCAUGAGUUCGAAUCCCCUCCCUCCAUUUGUUGUAUUAAGAUAAACAAUAUUGCAUGCUUAUCCGCACUCAUCAUUAACGAACCCAAUAAGAAUUUGACUGGUUUUUAGUUUUUUAAAAAAUAGAAAG